AUUGAACGCUGGCGGCAUGCCUUACACAUGCAAGUCGAACGGUAACGCGGGGCAACCUGGCGACGAGUGGCGAACGGGUGAGUAAUGCAUCGGAACGUGCCCAGUUGUGGGGGAUAACUGCUCGAAAGGAUAGCUAAUACCGCAUACGUCCUGAGGGAGAAAGCGGGGGAUCGCAAGACCUCGCGCUAAUAGAGCGGCCGAUGUUGGAUUAGCUAGUUGUUGGGGUAAAGGCUCACCAAGGCGACGAUCGGUAGCUGGUCUGAGAGGACGACCAGCCACACUGGGACUGAGACACGGCCCAGACUCCUACGGGAGGCAGCAGUGGGGAAUUUUGGACAAUGGGGGCAACCCUGAUCCAGCCAUUCCGCGUGUGGGAAGAAGGCCUUCGGGUUGUAAACCACUUUCGGACGGGAAGAAAUCGACGUGACGAAUAAUCGUGUCGGAUGACGGUACCGUAAGAAGAAGCACCGGCUAACUACGUGCCAGCAGCCGCGGUAACAC
rnacentral:rRNA from 1 species